CCUACGGGUGGCUGCAGUGAGGAAUAUUGGUCAAUGGGCGGGAGCCUGAACCAGCCAAGUCGCGUGAGGGAAGACGGUCCUAUGGAUUGUAAACCUCUUUAGGCGGGGAGCAAUGCCGGGCACGCGUGCCCGGAGGGAGAGUACCCGCAGAAUAAGCAUCGGCUAACUCCGUGCCAGCAGCCGCGGUAAUACGGAGGAUGCGAGCGUUAUCCGGAUUUAUUGGGUUUAAAGGGUGCGUAGGCGGAUUUUUAAGUCAGCGGUAAAAUGUCCGGGGCUCAACCCCGUCGUGCCGUUGAAACUGGCGUUCUUGAGUGAGCGAGAAGUAUGCGGAAUGCGUGGUGUAGCGGUGAAAUGCAUAGAUAUCACGCAGAACUCCGAUUGCGAAGGCAGCAUACCGGCGCUCAACUGACGCUCAUGCACGAAAGCGUGGGUAUCGAACAGGAUUAGAUACCCGGGUAGUC
rnacentral:rRNA from 1 species